rnacentral:lncRNA from 1 species
UUUAUCUGGUCAACACUCCUUCACACACAAAACGAGGCACGUGCAGAAGCCACAGAGGGGCAGCUGUUUGCUCAAGGGAGCCCCAGAAUCCAGACGGAUCCCAUCGGAUCAUAGCUUACAGGUCUCAAAGGACCUCCCCACAGACGAUGCACUGAUUUCAGAAACAAAUAGUGAGUUCACAAUGGAGAACCAGGCAGACAACUGCUUACCCAGGUCACAGUUAUGUCACCACCAUCCGGAUUGUGACGUUCCAGCAUCAGCUGCCUCCUGAUGUGAUGGCACCAGGACAGCAGCGUUUCUGCCAAAACCCAGAAGCCACAUCUAGUCACAAAGCAACAUCAGACAAACAAAUGGAGCGACAUCUUAUAAAGGGGCAGCCUGGCUUUCUUCAAACACAUCCAGCGCGAGGAGGAGGAGAAGGAAAAAUGAAGAGGAAGCAGUAUAUAGUAAGUAAAGAAAAAAUGAAGAAAGUCUUCAUGGGGAAAACCCGGAAAGUCAAAGGUGUUAGUGUUUUGAAUAAAGCAAUAGCUCCAGUUCCUGUGAUGGAUGCCUUUGUGUACUGACUUCAUCUCGAGGCCAUCACCAUCGAGAGUGGAACAUGGGGGUCAAAGCCAGCCCCCAGCAUCAUGACACGCUUGCAUAUCCCAAAUGCAUACAUGGACACAUCAGGGGUCUCCAAUAUGCUUUCUUCCUUGGCACCUGGCACCUCUGUGUCCCCCCGGGGACAUUGCUCUGCAAAGAAGUGAAGAAAGUAAGAUUUCUGACAGACAAAAGAUGACAAGUGACUUCCAGUUUCUGCUAGAGCACGCAGAGCUGGAAAGAGUGUCAUCUCAAACCUACACACUGCCCAACAAUAAGUCUGUGUCUUUUCUUGAACUUAUUUGCAUUCUGAAAUUGGAAUGCCACCAACUUGCCCCAAAUCAAAGAAAAGACUGGUGUCUGCAGGGAGAAACAAGACAGGAGGAGAAUGCUGGCUUACUUGGGCCCAGGUAAGAAGAGUUCAGUUGGGAUGGUUGGCAAUCUGGGGGCUGAGAGUGCACUGGCUGGAGCACCCCUGGGUGCUACAAAUGUGGGUCCAUCCUCGUGUGCAUUGUCUUACAGGCUUUUCCCUCCAGACCAAAGCCAGGGAAUCACCAUAAAAACUCUAAGAUUGCUGAGAAAGUGCCCUGGUGCUGUAGGUUUGGGGAGGGAAUCAACAGCCACUGCAGGAAGGUCAUGAAAACCUAGUCAGAUACUUUCUCAUCUCCUCUACGGGAAAAAUCUACAAUCAUUAGGCAUUUCCAAAGAAUGUAAAAAAAUUUAUAGUCUAUGGAUAUAAAUAUCACCUUUGGGAUACUGGUAAAAACCCAUUUCAUCUAAGGGAGUGGGACAGGAACCAUCCUCUCAACCCUGGGAAGAAGAGCAGAAAUAUGUGCCGGGCUCGGACUAAUGCUGGCAGGAGUACUGAGGAGGCCACGGGUCCACAGUCCAGGAAUGUGGUGCCUGCUGAAGGCUGAGAAUCAAUCAGAACCAAAGACCCCACAGAAAUAAAAAUAGAAAACAAGACCA